CCUACGGGAGGCAGCAGUGAGGAAUAUUGGUCAAUGGGCGCGAGCCUGAACCAGCCAAGUAGCGUGAAGGAUGACUGCCCUACGGGUUGUAAACUUCUUUUAUAAAGGAAUAAAGUGAGGCACGUGUGCCUUUUUGUAUGUACUUUAUGAAUAAGGAUAUGCUAACUCCGUGCCAGCAGCCGCGGUAAUACGGAGGAUCCGAGCGUUAUCCGGAUUUAUUGGGUUUAAAGGGAGCGUAGAUGGGUUGUUAAGUCAGUUGUGAAAGCUUGGGGCUCAACCGGAAAAUUGCAAUUGAUACUGGCAGCCUUGAGUACAGUAGAGGUAGGCAGAAUUCGAGGUGUAGCGGUGAAA
rnacentral:rRNA from 1 species